GUCCACGCCUUAAACUAUGAAUACUAAGUGUCGGCGGUUUACCGCCGGUGCCGCAGCUAACGCAUUAAGUAUUCCGCCUGGGAAGUACGGCCGCAAGGUUGAAACUCAAAGGAAUUGACGGGGGCCAGCACAAGCGGUGGAGCAUGUGGUUUAAUUCGACGCAACGCGAAGAACCUUACCAAGGCUGGACAUGCAGGUAGUAGAAGGGUGAAAGCCCAACGAGGUAGCAAUACCAUCCUGCUCAGGUGCUGCAUGGCUGUCGU
rnacentral:rRNA from 1 species